ACGCGUGGAACCUUACCAGGUCUUGACAUCCCAUUGACCGCUAUGGAGACAUAGCUUUCCCUUUUAGGGACAGUGGUGACAGGUGGUGCAUGGUUGUCGUCAGCUCGUGUCGUGAGAUGUUGGGUUAAGUCCCGCAACGAGCGCAACCCUUGUUCUUAGUUGCCAUCAUUUAGUUGGGCACUCUAAGGAGACUGCCGGUGACAAACCGGAGGAAGGUGGGGAUGACGUCAAAUCAUCAUGCCCCUUAUGACCUGGGCUACACACGUGCUACAAUGGACGGUACAAACGGUUGCCAACCCGCGAGGGGGAGCUAAUCCGAUAAAACCGUUCUCAGUUCGGAUUGUAGGCUGCAACUCGCCUACAUGAAGCCGGAAUCGCUAGUAAUCGCGGAUCAGCAUGCCGCGGUGAAUACGUUCCCGGGCCUUGUACACACCGCCCGU
rnacentral:rRNA from 1 species